UGACGCAGCAAAAGACACGCGGGGCCUCGUGCUUCAUUGUCUGAAUGACUGGCGCGACCAAAGCCAAGAAGAGCGGCUGCGCUUGACAGUAAGGCUGAACAAUCAUCACCAUGUGUGCCUGAAACCUAUCUUUCGAUAGCUAACUCAGCGUUCCUCAUUUACCGACUGAUGACACAGCAUCAGGAGCAACCUGGGGUUCAGUAUCUCGCUCAAGGACACUUGGACAAGGUCGCAAUGGCCGGGGAACCACCGAACCACCAACUUCCGGGUUGGGUAAACGAGCACUCCACCACUGAGCCGUCCUGCCCCGAGAGUUCCAGCUGCAGAAAAACAGGCUGAAAACAUGAUGUUUCAAGCACAACGCCUCAGUGGAACGCACAACGCCUCACUUUUGGUGGUGAGUAGUGUUUUGUUUGCACAAAAUUUGGAAUUAUAGCCCAAAAGUUGCACCAUGGUCUCACUGGAUCAUCCCAAAAUCUCUCAAACACACGUGGGGGUUUAAAUGUGUCAUGGUCUUGUUUUGAAGAUCACAAAAGCCUGUCAUUUGAACAGGGCUGUGUAAACUUUUUAAAUCCACGAUACAUAUGAAGGUGAUUUGAUUUUGUCUCUGUUUCUUAAUGUUGCAAUUUGUCAAUAUUUAUUCAAUAUUCAUAUCGCUUAUGUAAGGAUAUGAUUCAGUCCAAGCCUCGCUGCGGUUCAAUGAGGGUGCUCGUGAACAUGGAUUAUUAGAAUAGCUGAAUGACAAAGGUUAUGGAGAUGACAUUCAAGAGACUGAGCCAUCUUGGCCUGAAGCAGACUGUGGGAAAGAAAGGAGGAAGGGAGGAAGGAAGGAAGGAAGGCAGGCAUGGGAUGGAUGAGCGCCACCUGUCAAAGGUGCAUGACAAGCUGGGAGGGGUUAAUUGGGGUGACGUGACAGAUUUGGCAUGCGUAGCACACUAGCACUCGAGGUGCGUCCGCUCAGUCCGAAAGUGCUACGUCUCCUCAAUGUCAAUCAGCUUUGCCCCCCUCACGGGAGAAAAUCAUAUCCCACACCCGAGCUGAUGGGCGCAUUCCGUCUGAGCUGCUGACUUCCGUGCGACCGGCGCGCUCUAUGGCGACGCGUAAUCCUGUACACCCCUGGCUGCUGUUAUGCUUUGCGAUGGAGGCGAGUUGAUGGGAUGAAUAAAUGAUGGGCAUGUUUGUGGAUGUCCACACAGUCCGACAGCUGCGCUGCACUCAAAUAAACUGCACUGCAGAAAAAACAACUCCAUCAAGCCAGUGGCGAAGAGUGGCCCCCCGGAGCUGGUGGGGGCACUGCGGCCUACUGGAAGGCCUUGCGUGUGCGCGUCGUAGUCAUUUGAGUAGUGAACAUGAACUCAAGAGGGCAAAAACCGAUUAGGACGCAGUUAAAAGUGAAAUGACCAUCAUUCUUAUUCUUGACUCUAUUUGGUUUUUACAAUAUGCACAACUCUCAUUUAUUGUGCAAUAAUCUAAUCGUAGCUUGUAUUUUCUUAUUAGCGUUGCGCUAGUGCACCGGCUUUCAGUUGGAUAUCAAGGCUAUUGAAUAAACGCAAUCGAACUGUUUUCCGUGGAUCAGUGAUCCACUACAGCGCAUUCGGGUCCCCUGUAAUUAUUUUGAAUGGAUGCAUGUGUUCAAGGAGCCUCGUCGCUCUUAUAGAUCUCUUUUAAAAAAA